rnacentral:sRNA from 1 species
UUCAUGUACAAGUGCGAGAAAGCAUACAUUGAUUGGAACAUGUUUUAAGUUCAAAUCAAGAGGUAAACCUGUAAGAUAAAUAAUAUCCCAAUGCAGCAAUGACCAGAACUGCAGCACCAAUAUUUGUUGCUAUUUUUUUCUCUUCCUCAUUCAAUGCUACUUUUGAAAAAGCAUGGGAGACACCUCCAACCCUUUCCACUGCAUUCUCUUCACUCUUCCCUUUUUUCUCCUUUUUCUUCUGAACUUUUGGAGCACUUGUUUCUGCUUCCUUGGCCACAAAAUUUUCUUUCUCUUUAAAAUCAGCUUGCUCCUUAACUUUCGCGUGUCUUGACUCAUAAGCUUCCUCUUUAGCUUCAUUCUUUGAGUUCCUUUCCUUCUUAGCAGCAUCAACACUUGUUUCUUCUAUCCUCUUUUCCUCCAAUUGCUCUUUAACUGUUGGCUUUCUGGAAAUAUUUGUUAUUGCAGGUGUUGGCUCACCUUCCUCAUGACCCUUUGGAGCUGUUUUUACUUUGGUUAGCAUUGCUGGUGUUGCUCUUGGUUCAAAUUCCUCUUGACCCUGCUGCUGGUGUUGAUUUUGGCUCAUCCUCCUCUUGACCCUUUUGUGGCUUUUCAUCUCUUUGCAUUGUGGAUGACCUUGGUGAUGCUGGUUCCAACUCCUUUUCACUCAUUCGAGGCUCAGCAAUGGAACCAACUCUUUCUACAGCUUCCACUUGACCCUUUUGGUCCCUAAUUGGUUCUGAAGGGGUUUGAGAUGGUGUGUCCUCCCUUUUUUGUGCCUCAAAGUCAAGGCUUGGUGGUGAAGCACUUUUCUUGUCUUCAACUGGUUCUUCUUCCACUUUAGUUGUAGUCGUAGGUUGUGGUGGAGUAGCAUCCUGAACUUUUUCAUCAGGCUUUGAUUCAGCCACUGCACCUUUGUCUUGGGAUGUUCCCACUUCUUGUUGUUUAGGUGCAGCUUGUGAUGCGGUCGUGGACUUCUUUGGUAUUGUAAGGAUGAGAACAGGAGCUUCAUACUUACCCUGAAGUGCCUCUGCAUCACAAUAAUCAGGAAUGGGAUAUGAUUGGUCAAUUCGUUGCCAUAUUGUCCCUCGAACUUGUCUUUCUCCAGAUAUCCUCACCGUUCGUGAAGGGGCCACAUAAGUUAUCUUUACACUUUCCCUUGGAAAACCUGUAAAGUUAGGUGAAAAAAAUAGUUACACUCAAGACAGAAGAAAACAAACUGAAAAACUAAACUAAACUCGAUUUGUCUGUUUAAGAUAAAGCUUCUUUUGGCUUCGACUCGGG